CGCUGGCCCUGGGCGAGCCCGGCCUGCGGGCCCCCCGCCUCCAGGGCGGCGAGCAGGGCCGGGAUGAAGGCCGGGUCGUUCUGGCCGUCGCCGUCCAGCGUC
rnacentral:tRNA from 1 species